rnacentral:rRNA from 1 species
CAACCUACGGGGCGCAGCAGUGGGGAAUAUUGGGCAAUGGGCGCAAGCCUGACCCAGCAACGCCGCGUGAAGGAAGAAGGCUUUCGGGUUGUAAACUUCUUUUAUGAGGGACGAAAGAAAUGACGGUACCUCAUGAAUAAGCCACGGCUAACUACGUGCCAGCAGCCGCGGUAAUACGUAGGUGGCAAGCGUUAUCCGGAUUUACUGGGUGUACAGUGCGUGUAGGCGGGACUGCAAGUCAGAUGUUAAGAUUAUGGGCUCCACCCAUAACCUGCAUUUGAACCUGUAGCUCU